GUCUAUGGCCAUACCACCCUAAACACAGUCUGCUCUCACCUGAUCUCAGAAGCUAAGCAGGGUCGGGCCCAUUUAGUACUUGGAUGGGAGAAUUGCCUAAGAGAUAACACCUCUGAGAACAUAGCGAGCCUUCUUCU
rnacentral:rRNA from 1 species